CGGCGCGGCGCUCGCGGGGUUGCCGCCUCCCGAGCCGGGUCCGCCCGCCCCCUGGGCCCGCGGGACCCCGCGCGGCCUCGCCCUGAGCUGCCGGGCGCUGGGAACAAAGAGCGCGGCGAGCCGCGGGGCCCGUACGGCGAUGGCUCUUUUCUUGCCUUAAACCCUGUGAAAUCUGCCGGAUCUGAGCCCCAGGAAGGUUUGAUGGCAGCAGGUUAAAUGAGGUGACCAUGCCGGCUUCAGUGACCACGUCGGGCGCUCCAGUUCAAGCGCGGACUCCGGGAAGCGCGCCGGGUGCUUCAGGGCCUGCUGGCAUUACCCCUGCUCGCAUUUCGUGGAAUACAGUUCUUUGUUUUGCACCAGGUGGAAACCUUUCCAGAAAGGAACCAGGGGUGCUGCCUUCCACCUGCCAUCUGUCUUAAGAAUAAAAUUGCCUGCAAGUCGGUUUUCACAGGCUGACUGAGCACCACCAGUGCGGGAACCCCACGCCAUCCUCACAAGUGGUCUACAUGGGCUGCAAGUCACACCCCAGUCCUUAAAAUACAGACUUACAGGAGCUGCAGUGUGUAUCCCCAAGGCAGAAGAGUAUGAGGAAUUGUUAUAAACCACAUUGCAGAACAAAUUUCUAAAAGGGGAAAAAAAAAAUCCAGCUUCAAUCCCAAAGUGAGUGUUUCCUUAAGCUGUAUAAAGUGAUAGCCACUGAGGACUGACCAGAAAUGGAUGCAAUGCUGAGAGCUAGUGCAAAAGUGUCUCCGAGGGACACCACGGCCUGGCUGCUCAUCUGCUUUUCUCAGAAGAAAUGCUCGUCCAAGCUGCUGCCCCAGGGCUGGCCCCUUCUGGCCUCCUCCCCAAGGGCUGCUGGGCCUCCCACGCCAGCGUUUAGUGCCCAGUGYGGACACCCUGCAGGGUGA
rnacentral:lncRNA from 1 species